UAUAUUGCGAUGUCUAUUUUUGUCUAAAAUGGCUGACUAUCAUAUACUUGUAUGACAUAUUUGUGUGCUUUUAACCUGUUGCAUCAGAACCAGAAAAAACAAUCUUCCUGAUCUAGUUUAAUCCUGUAUAAAAGUUGACGUACGCGGUCACGAUUUACUCUCAAUUCAUUCUUCUUUUUUAUAGGUUUACAAGGAGAAUCAACAAGAUACAUUUAUAACUGAUAGUGAAGAAAAACAACCGCUUAAAACGCGCUUUAAGAUCAAGAUGAGUUCAACGAAAGUCAAAAGAUCAUCAGUGAAAUUGAUGCCUACCGAAGAAGCCACAUUCAACGAAGGUCUGCACUUACCGGUUGGGAGCUGUCAAACUCUUCGGAAACUUUCAACUGCAGCAGUGAAGUUCUCUCCGUCGGUUCAAAUCAUUGAACAUGAAGAUGAUAUAUACAACCUAGAUGAGGUCGAUUUAAACCCAUCCUUCGAAACCUUGAAGAAGCGCAGGCUGACUGCCUUCCAGUCACAGCUUGAGGAUUUCAAAAAAGUGGAGAUUGCCAAAUCAUCAGUGCGGAGAACCCUUGGUCGCUUAUCAAGUCUUCUUUGCGGUCUCUCGAUCUUGAUUACUUUAUUCACUAUAUUUGAUGUAGAAAUGAGCUACAAGUGCGGCAUGUCAUUCAGAACAGGAGAAAUGCUCAAUACGACAUGUUCUGCAAUCCUGGCGAUCAGAUCCCCCAUCUUCUUCAAAUCUCUCAUUUCACUGUGUUCGAUCGGGAUGUGCGUUGGUCUUUACGUUCACUAUCACUUCCAGUGUCAGUAUCUCAUCGUAGUGCAUCAGCUCCCUGUGAACUCGACAGUUCUGAGUUCCCCUCUCCGCAACAGUUUCCUGGCUGAACUGCUCCUCUGCUUCCUGCAUAUUCCACCAUUCCUUGAUAGAUUCCUUCCAACUGAGCUACAACUGAUAUCUGUUCUGCGUCUCUAUCUUACCGGGCGGUAUAUGAAAGAACAUAAUGCCACCAUGAGGAGUAGAUCGACCCGAUUCCUGGCAUCAGUGCUAAAAAUAGAACUGACAUCCAGCUAUCUUGUCAAGACAUUCUUUUUAAGACAUCCUUUGGUCAUGAUCGUCCUCUGCUAUCUGCUCAAUAUGUUUGGUUCUGGUUACCUAGUAUUUGCCAUGGAUCGGUACAACAACCCGCUUCAUCACAACACGUUCGAGGACACAUUAUGGAUGCAAGCAGUUACCAUGACAACGCUUGGUUUUGGUGAUGUGACUCCAGACUCUUUGUUAGGCAGAGCAGUGGUGGCCUUUUCAGCAGUCUGUGGUAUAUUCCUCAUGGCCCUCCUUAUCAGCGUCAUCCACGAAGGAUUGCAUCUUACUCAACAAGAAAAACGGAUAAUGGCAUACGUGGGAGAGAAUAGACCACAGCAAGCGAUAUAAAGAAAUGGCUGCUCGGUGUAUCCAGGCGACCUGGCGUUUGUAUCGUUGGCAUAGACACGACAAAGCUACCCUUACCAAGUUUCAGUUUUGCCUUUCAAAGCUUGGUCUCGUUCAUCCCAAAACACACCUCACCAACCAACUAUACGCGGCUCUGUUCCACUGGCGAGAGAUCAAAAAAAGCAAGACACCGGAUGAAACGUGGGUGAAGGAUUUUGUAGCCGACAAUACCGCUCUCAUGUUGACCGAUGUACUCAGGAAAAUGGAUAAUAUCGAGGACAUGUUGAUGGAUCCUUCAUCGGGGGAGAAACCGAAAGAAGAAUAUCAAGAUGAUGAUGAUGAUGAUGGUGGUGGUGGUGGGAACACCUUACAGGUCACCAAUGAUGAUGACGACGAACCAGUUAAAAAGACUGGAUCUGAAAUACACGACACAGUAGACGUCCCGUCUUCCCGUCAGAUACCAACUGCAUGGGCAGAACCAUCGCCUUGUCCGCACCCACCCUACCCGCUCCCACACCCUGUCAUCACUGUCCAAGGACCGGACGAACCAUCUGAAACAGCACAUCCUGGAGCAAUGGCCGGUUCAAAGACCACAUCCUCAGCGGUUCUUCGCCGCAUCACAGAAGCAGAACUGAAAGUUGACAAAAUGUAUCGGGAUAUGCGGAAAGAACUUUCAGAUAUAAAGACAUUCCUUCAAAGAGCAGAUGGUGUUGCGUUGAUGAUGAUAACGGUUGAUGUCUUUUACUUGGAUUCUAUAAUGUUAGCAUCACCAUGAAUUGACUUGUCGUCCGAUUGCAAUCUAUAUUGUGGACGAAUUGUAUCUGAAAAUUGUUUUAAAGCUUAUUCAGCUAAUGCAAGUAGGUCUGUUGGAUCUAGGUCUGAUAACACUGUCGUCUAAAACUCGCAUCCUGGAAUCAAAUGCAGUUGGCCCUACCUCUACAUCAGGAAUAGCAUAUGUAGUACUAAUCAACUGCGAGGAAUAAAAAUGAUCCGCUUGACAGUUGCUUCAACCACAAUAAAGAGAUUCGUAUUUCACGACGGUGCUUUUACGAUGAUGAAACUGACGAUUGGGGAUGAAGUAUCUGUGCUUACUACAACCCUGAGGUUUCGUCCGUCCUCAGCGUCGUGCUGAAUAUGACAGCAUGGCAUAGACAUUUGUUGCAUGAUACCUUUUUUCAAUAUGUCAAUGCGAGUACGUCAUUUCGUAACAAUCGAAACGAUUAAUUCGCUGGACGGAACACUAUAGGGCUCACAGGCCUAAUUCAUUUCCCAUAGACUCCUGUAUUAAAGUGGCACUCAAAAAUAAUUCAUACAAAAUAAGGAGGAAAUUCGAGGGUUGAAUGUUUACUACCAGUGGAUAGGAUAAAUGUCU
rnacentral:misc_RNA from 1 species